UAGUCUGGUGCCAGCAGCCGCGGUAAUUCCAGCUCCAAUAGCGUAUAUUAAAGUUGUUGCAGUUAAAACGCUCGUAGUCGGAUUUCGGGGCAGGUUUGCCGGUCUGCCGAUGGGUAUGCACUGGUAGAACUGUCCUUCCUUCCGGAGACGGCGCCUACUCUUAACUGAGCGGGUGUCGGAGACGGAUCGUUUACUUUGAAAAAAUCAGAGUGUUUCAAGCAGGCAGCUCGCUUUUGCAUGGAUUAGCAUGGGAUAAUGAAAUAGGACUUUGGUGCUAUUUUGUUGGUUUCGAACACCGAAGUAAUGAUUAACAGGGACAGUCAGGGGCACUCGUAUUCCGCCGAGAGAGGUGAAAUUCUUAGACCAGCGGAAGACGAACCACUGCGAAAGCAUUUGCCAGGGAUGUUUUCACUGAUCAAGAACGAAAGUUAGGGGAUCGAAGACGAUCAGAUACCGUCGUAGUCUUAACCAUAAACCAUGCCGACUAGGGAUUGGAGGAUGUUCCUAUGUGACUCCUUCAGCACCUUUCGGGAAACUAAAGUCUUUGGGUUCCGGGGGGAGUAUGGUCGCAAGGCUGAAACUUAAAGGAAUUGACGGAAGGGCACCACCAGGAGUGGAGCCUGCGGCUUAAUUUGACUCAACACGGGGAAACUUACCAGGUCCAGACAUUGUGAGGAUUGACAGAUUGAGAGCUCUUUCUUGAUUCGAUGGGUGGUGGUGCAUGGCCGUCUU
rnacentral:rRNA from 1 species